rnacentral:rRNA from 1 species
UACGGGAGGCAGCAGUGAGGAAUAUUGCACAAUGGAGGAAACUCUGAUGCAGCAACGCCGCGUGGAGGAUGACGCAUUUCGGUGUGUAAACUCCUUUUAUUAGGGAAGAUAAUGACGGUACCUAAUGAAUAAGCACCGGCUAACUCCGUGCCAGCAGCCGCGGUAAUACGGAGGGUGCAAGCGUUACUCGGAAUCACUGGGCGUAAAGGGUGCGUAGGCUGGCUUUUAAGUCAGAUGUGAAAUCCAAUGGCUCAACCAUUGAACUGCAUUUGAAACUGAAAGCCUAGAGUUCAGAAGGGGCAGAUGGAAUUAGUGGUGCAGGGGUAAAAUCCGUAGAUAUCACUAGG